rnacentral:rRNA from 1 species
CAGUCGCCGCGGGAAUACAGAGGGUGCGAGCGUUAAUCGGAUUUACUGGGCGUAAAGCGUGCGUAGGCGGCUUCUUAAGUCGGAUGUGAAAUCCCUGAGCUUAACUUAGGAAUUGCAUUCGAUACUGGGAAGCUAGAGUAUGGGAGAGGAUGGUAGAAUUCCAGGUGUAGCGGUGAAAUGCGUAGAGACCUGGAGGAAUACCGAUGGCGAAGGCAGCCAUCUGGCCUAAUACUGACGCUGAGGUACGAAAGCAUGGGGAGCAAACAGGAUUAGAUACCCCUGUAGUCCCUGUCCUUAUACA